rnacentral:rRNA from 1 species
UGAGGAAUAUUGCGCAAUGGGGGCAACCCUGACGCAGCAACGCCGCGUGAGUGAGGAAGGUUUUCGGAUCGUAAAGCUCUGUCGGGUGGGAAGAAAUGUAUGGGGGUUAAUAGCCUUUGUACUUGACGGUACCGCCAAAGGAAGCACCGGCUAACUCCGUGCCAGCAGCCGCGGUAAUACGGGGGGUGCAAGCGGUGUUCGGAAUCAUUGGGCGUAAAGAGCGUGUAGGCGGCUAGGCAAGUCAGAUGUGAAAUCCCUGGGCUUAACCCAGGACGUGCAUUUGAAGCUGCUUAGCUUGAGUAAGGAAGAGGGAAGUGGAAUUCCUGGUGUGUAGGUGAAAUACGUAGAGAUCGGGAGGAACACCAGCGGCGCAGGCGGCUCACUAGACAGUUUCUGACGCUAAGAUACGAAAGCGUGGGGAGCAAACA